rnacentral:rRNA from 1 species
GGGGGCCCGCACAAGCGGCGGAGCAUGUCGCUUAAUUCGAUGCAACGCGAAGGACCUUACCUGGGCUUGACAUGCAGGGAAAACUCGUAGAGAUACGGGGUCCUUUUGGGCCUUGCACAGGUGGUGCAUGGCUGUCGUCAGCUCGUGUCGUGAGAUGUUGGGUUAAGUCCCGCAACGAGCGCAACCCUCGUCCUAUGUUGCCAGCGAGUAAUGUCGGGGACUCAUAGGAGACUGCCGGGGUCAACUCGGAGGAAGGUGGGGAUGACGUCAAGUCAUCAUGCCCCUUAUGUCCAGGGCUGCAAACAUGCUACAAUGGCCGGUACAAAGAGCUGCGAUACCGCAAGGUGGAGCGAAUCUCAUAAAGCCGGUCUCAGUUCGGAUUGGGGUCUGCAACUCGACCCCAUGAAGUCGGAGUCGCUAGUAAUCGCAGAUCAGCAACGCUGCGGUGAAUACGUUCCCGGGCCUUGUACACACCGCCCGUCACGUCACGAAAGUCGGUAACACCCGAAGCCGGUGGCCCAACCCUUGUGGAGGGAGCCGUCGAAGGUGGGAUCGGCGAUUGGGACGAAGU